rnacentral:rRNA from 1 species
GACACGGUCCAGACUCCUACGGGAGGCAGCAGUAGGGAAUCUUCCGCAAUGGGCGAAAGCCUGACGGAGCAACGCCGCGUGAGUGAUGAAGGUCUUCGGAUCGUAAAACUCUGUUAUUAGGGAAGAACAUAUGUGUAAGUAACUGUGCACAUCUUGACGGUACCUAAUCAGAAAGCCACGGCUAACUACGUGCCAGCAGCCGCGGUAAUACGUAGGUGGCAAGCGUUAUCCGGAAUUAUUGGGCGUAAAGCGCGCGUAGGCGGUUUUUUAAGUCUGAUGUGAAAGCCCACGGCUCAACCGUGGAGGGUCAUUGGAAACUGGAAAACUUGAGUGCAGAAGAGGAAAGUGGAAUUCCAUGUGUAGCGGUGAAAUGCGCAGAGAUAUGGAGGAACACCAGUGGCGAAGGCGACUUUCUGGUCUGUAACUGACGCUGAUGUGCGAAAGCGUGGGGAUCAAACAGGAUUAGAUACCCUGGUAGUCCACGCCGUAAACGAUGAGUGCUAAGUGUUAGGGGGUUUCCGCCCCUUAGUGCUGCAGCUAACGCAUUAAGCACUCCGCCUGGGGAGUACGACCGCAAGGUUGAAACUCAAAGGAAUUGACGGG